UCUCGAUAGCGUAAAAGUUAACUCGAGUUUAUAUGGAGUUGGAACGUUUGCCUAAGUUUGCCGCUAGGGGCGCUGUUCCAACUGCAUAAUUUGAGUUAACUUUUACGCUAUCGA
rnacentral:pre_miRNA from 9 species